rnacentral:siRNA from 1 species
AGAGACCACCAACACAAAGACUUC